CCCAUAUCCAACUCGAGGAAGUGACUUAUUGACAUGGGAGAGAACUUAUUGGUAACCAAGGACUUUGUGAAGAUAGCAAAUUUUGGCCUUGCUCGUGAAGUUCAUUCGAAGCCACCAUUCAUAGAAUAGGUUUCAACACGCUGUUUACAAAUCUCAAGUACUCCAG